GAUGAACGCUGGCGGCGUGCCUAAUACAUGCAAGUCGAGCGAACAGACGAGGAGCUUGCUCCUCUGACGUUAGCGGCGGACGGGUGAGUAACACGUGGAUAACCUACCUAUAAGACUGGGAUAACUUCGGGAAACCGGAGCUAAUACCGGAUAAUAUAUUGAACCGCAUGGUUCAAUAGUGAAAGACGGUUUUGCUGUCACUUAUAGAUGGAUCCGCGCCGCAUUAGCUAGUUGGUAAGGUAACGGCUUACCAAGGCGACGAUGCGUAGCCGACCUGAGAGAGGGUGCGCCGACACUCUAGCACUGAGACACGGCACAGACCUACAGGGGAGGCCGGAGGAGGGACUUCCGCGAUAUGCGAGAACGCGUGACGGAGCCACGCCGCGUGAGUGAAGAAGCUUCUGGGCUUGAAACACUCUGUUAUUAGGGAAGCAAAAAUGUGUAAGUCAAUACGCAUGUCUAGACGGCCUAAACUGAGAACGACACCUAUAAACAUG
rnacentral:rRNA from 1 species